rnacentral:misc_RNA from 1 species
AACCUAGCACACCUGCGGUGUGUACCUGCGGAGGGAUCAUUACCGAGUUUACAACUCCCAAACCCCUGUGAACAUACCACUUGUUGCCUCGGCGGAUCAGCCCGCUCCCGGUAAAACGGGACGGCCCGCCAGAGGACCCCUAAACUCUGUUUCUAUAUGUAACUUCUGAGUAAAACCAUAAUAAAUCAAAACUUUUAACAAUGGAUCU